GCAUCUGUAGCUCAGUUGGUUAGAGCGUCUGCUUGCCAAGCAGAAGGUCGCGAGUCCGAAUCUCGCCAGGUGCUCCA
rnacentral:tRNA from 1 species